rnacentral:lncRNA from 1 species
GGACCGGGCCGGGGAGGCCCGGGGCGGGGGCCGCGGCGAGCCGAGCGCGGGCGCGCAGGGCGGACAGGCCGGGGCCGAACCACUCGGGGACUGCGGGGCGCCGGGCGCCACAGCACAGCCACGGGCGCCGGAGCCGGCUCGCGCCUGCGCGAGUCUCCGGGUCUGGCCGCCGCCGCGUGCCCUCGGCGGGGAGGCUGGCGGCGGGGGGCCCGGAAGCCGUAUUCUCCGGAUAACAGUCGCCACCAAAGGACGAACAAGCCUCCCCUCGGGAACAGGUGGCUGGCUAAGUCGUCCUCGGGUGCGAACGCGUCGACACCCACUUGGAACCACUGGGCCACCAGGGCUGCCCUUGGCAUAAGUUUUUAUGUAAUAUUUCUUCUGAUUCUUUUCCUCUCUUCUAUGUUUUUUUUCUCAUUCAUAAUUUUAUAUUACUUUUUUUGCUCCUUUCCCUUAAAUCAGGCUUGAGAAGGGCUUAUGUAUUUUAAAAACAAACACACAAAAUAACUAUUACUUUAAUAUAUCCCUUUAUACUAUAUUUUUAUUUCUAUUUAAGUAUUUUUAGUGUUUCUUUGUAUUAAUUUCCUAUUCAUAAUUUCUUGUGGCUUAUUUUUUGCUUUUUUUAUUUUCCUGAGAUGAGAACCCUGGGAUCCUUUUCACUAAAUGCUUUUUUAGCAAGAAAGAGAAGGAGGAGGAAGAGCAGGAGAAAGAGGGGGGGGAAAUGAAAACUUGGCUUUUUCUUUUGAACUAGCUUUAGCUGUUGUGCCACAGGUACUGAAAUGAAAUGGUUUCCUUUUCAUUUUCUACUUUAUAAUUCAAGUUUUGAUUUCUUCUUCAUCCUUUAUUUUCAAAUAGUAGAUAAAUUGGAUUUUGCUUUAUGUUUAUUCUUAACUUUAUUGGAUUAUUUUUUAUAAAGUCCUACCUUUAUUUAAAAAGAAAAUAUGUUGGCUACUUGAAUUUGAAUUGAAAGAAAGAAAGAAAGAAAGAAAGAAAGAAAGAAAGAAAGAAAGAAAAAAUAUUGUGUGUUUCUAUGUAAGCCACAAUAUAAUCAAUUUUCUAUGAACAAAUCCCCAAAUCUUUUCUCUCUGUUUCAAAGAAACAGAGGUCUAUAUUCAUUACAUCAACUUUAUUAAUUGCAUUAUAUAAUUACUUUGUAUCCAUACUUUUUAAAAAAGAUUUUAUUUAUUCAUGAGAGACAGAAAGAGAGAGGCAAAAACACAGGCAGAGGGAGAAGCAGGCUCCCUGCAGGGAACCCAAUGUGGGACUCCAUCCCCAGGACCCAGGGACCACACCCUGAGCCAAAGGCAGCCGCUCAACCACUGAGCCUCCAGGCAUCCCUGCAUC